UAGAAUGGUAUGUCAUUACAGUUUUAAUUUAAAUUUCUCUAACAAAUAAUGAACCGUUUCCAACAGGACUGAGAUUAGGGUGAAGCAAGAGAGGCAACUAGGGUAUACAUUUAUUUAUUUAUUUAUUUAUUUAUUUAUUUAUUUAUUUAUUUAUUUAUUUAUUUUGAGACGGAGUCUCGCUCUGUCACCCAGGCUGGAAUGCAGUGGAGCGAUCUUGGCUCACUGCAACCUCCGCUUCCUGGGUCCAAAUGAUUCUCCUGCUUCAGCCUCCUGAGUAUCUGGGAUUACAGAUGCUCAGCUGUCUAAUAGGAUCAGUAACAGCACAGCACAUUGCCAAGCCACAUGGAAGGAUGAAGCAAAAGAAAAUCUCAGUAAUAUUGAUUUUGUCUUUAUUUAAAAUGUUAAUAUGUUGUUCAUCAUAGAUUUACUGCAUUCAUUUUGAUUUAAUGAAAUAUUACAUUAUCAUUACCUUUAUUACUGAGUUUAUUUGAUGUCCACUUAAGUUUUUCACCUGAGGCAGCAAGGGCUUCACAUUCUUCAUUCUGAGUCAGGACCUGAACAAGACCUAAACAUUUUUCAUUUAUAUUCACUUAGGCAGUUGAGGUCUUGCCUUCGAUGUUUCUCUACAGCUUACUACAAAGAAAUGGUAGUUAAUGUAGGAAGAGGGCAACAUUCUCAUAGAGCUAGUUCCAGGAAGAUACCUAUGUGCCCCUGAUAGCAUUACAGAGUUUAGAAAUUUCUGCCUUCACUGCUUAUUUUACUUUUUCUCUUCUUCAGUUUGUUUCACUUCCAGUGAGUCAGAUCAUGGGCACUGGAACCAGAUGAAUAAGGAUUGAAAGCCCACUCAAGGAAUGAGUUAUUUUACCUGUCUGAGUCUCAAUGUUCUUAUUUAUUAAGUGAGGAUCAUUUUUAAGAUUCUUGCAUAAAGAAAUGAGUAUAGAAAGUCCAUCACAUACCUAGUCCACAGCAUGGACUUAAUAAAUGUCAUUCAUUUUUUCUACUCUAUUUCUACCUCCCAGUAUUCAACUUAAUUCUACAGAACUAAUCCAUUAGCUAGUACAUAGCAGAAACUGAAAAAACAAAUUGAAAUAUAUGUUUUAUUGCUAUAAUCCUAACUAUGUUACAGAGACCUACCUCAAUGCUAGAGUUCAUCCAUUGAGUUGGUUAUGUUUAAUAUUAGUUUAAUAUUUGAAAGAUAGCAAAAAAAGUUUGUUAGUUACUUAUAAUAGGUAGAGAAAAAUAAUCAGUAGGCUUCUUUAGAAACACUCUGAUUCCUGAUCUAAACCCCAAUCUUCA
rnacentral:lncRNA from 1 species